GGUGAGUAACACGUAUCCAACCUGCCUCAUACUUGGGGAUAGCCUUUCGAAAGAAAGAUUAAUAUCCGAUAGCAUAUAUUUCCCGCAUGGGUUUUAUAUUAAAGAAAUUCGGUAUGAGAUGGGGAUGCGUUCCAUUAGUUUGUUGGGGGGGUAACGGCCCACCAAGACUACGAUGGAUAGGGGUUCUGAGAGGAAGGUCCCCCACAUUGGAACUGAGACACGGUCCAAACUCCUACGGGAGGCAGCAGUGAGGAAUAUUGGUCAAUGGACGCGAGUCUGAACCAGCCAAGUAGCGUGAAGGAUGACUGCCCUAUGGGUUGUAAACUUCUUUUAUAUGGGAAUAAAGUUGUCCACGUGUGGAUUUUUGUAUGUACCAUAUGAAUAAGGAUCGGCUAACUCCGUGCCAGCAGCCGCGGUAAUACGGAGGAUCCGAGCGUUAUCCGGAUUUAUUGGGUUUAAAGGGAGCGUAGGCGGAUUGUUAAGUCAGUUGUGAAAGUUUGCGGCUCAACC
rnacentral:rRNA from 1 species